rnacentral:rRNA from 1 species
GACGAGGGUGCAAGCGUUGUCCGGAAUCACUGGGCGUAAAGGGCGCGUAGGCGGCUCAUGAAGGCUGUGGUGAAAGUCCGGGGCUCAACCUCGGAUCGGCCGUGGCGACUCGUGGGCUGGAGCACUGUAGAGGCGGGUGGAAUUCCGGGUGUAGCGGUGGAAUGCGUAGAGAUCCGGAAGAACACCAGUGGCGAAGGCGGCCCGCUGGGCAGUGGCUGACGCUGAGGCGCGACAGCGUGGGGAGCAAACGAGGAU